rnacentral:tRNA from 1 species
GCCUUCUUAGUUUAAUGGUAAAACCACUGCCUUCCAAGCAGACGUCGUGGGUUCGAUUCCCACAGGAGGCU